rnacentral:rRNA from 1 species
CGCGUAGGAAUGUACCCCAAAGUGAGGCAUAACUCCGGGAAACCGGAGCUAAUACCGCAUAUGGUCUUCGGAUUAAAGCUUACGAGCGCUUUGGGAACAGCCUGCGUCUGAUUAGAUAGUUGGUGAGGUAAAGGCUCACCAAGUCGACGAUCAGUAGCUGGUCUGAGAGGAUGAUCAGCCAGACUGGAACUGAGACACGGUCCAGACUCCUACGGGAGGCAGCAGUAAGGAAUCUUCCACAAUGGGGGCAACCCUGAUGGAGCAACGCCGCGUGAAGGAUGAAGGCCCUCGGGUCGUAAACUUCUUUUGUUAGCGAAGAAUAUGACGGUAACUAACGAAUAAGGGUCGGCUAACUACGUG